rnacentral:rRNA from 1 species
UACGAAGGGGGCUAGCGUUGCUCGGAAUUACUGGGCGUAAAGCGCACGUAGGCGGCUUUCUAAGUCGGGGGUGAAAUCCUGGAGCUCAACUCCAGAACUGCCUUCGAUACUGGAAAGCUCGAGUCCGGGAGAGGUGAGUGGAACUGCGAGUGUAGAGGUGAAAUUCGUAGAUAUUCGCAAGAACACCUGAGGCGAAGGCGGGCUACUGGGCCGAUACUGACGCUGAUGCGCGAAAGCCAGGGGAGCAAACGGG